rnacentral:rRNA from 1 species
AGUGAACGCUGGCGGUAGGCCUAACACAUGCAAGUCGAACGGCAGCACAGUAAGAGCUUGCUCUUACGGGUGGCGAGUGGCGGACGGGUGAGGAAUACAUCGGAAUCUACUUUUUCGUGGGGGAUAACGUAGGGAAACUUACGCUAAUACCGCAUACGACAUACGGGUGAAAGCAGGGGAUCUUCGGACCUUGCGCGACAGAAUGAGCCGAUGUCGGAUUAGCUAGUUGGCGGGGUAAAGGCCCACCAAGGCGACGAUCCGUAGCUGGUCUGAGAGGAUGAUCAGCCACACUGGAACUGAGACACGGUCCAGACUCCUACGGGAGGCAGCAGUGGGGAAUAUUGGACAAUGGGCGCAAGCCUGAUCCAGCCAUACCGCGUGGGUGAAGAAGGCCUUCGGGUUGUAAAGCCCUUUUGUUGGGAAAGAAAAGCAGCAGGUUAAUACCCCGCUGUUCUGACGGUACCCAAAGAAUAAGCACCGGCUAACUUCGUG